rnacentral:rRNA from 1 species
GACGAACGCUGGCGGCGUGCUUAACACAUGCAAGUCGAACGGAAAGGCCCUGCUUUUGUGGGGUGCUCGAGUGGCGAACGGGUGAGUAACACGUGAGUAACCUGCCCUUGACUUUGGGAUAACUUCAGGAAACUGGGGCUAAUACCGGAUAGGAGCUCCUGCUGCAUGGUGGGGGUUGGAAAGUUUCGGCGGUUGGGGAUGGACUCGCGGCUUAUCAGCUUGUUGGUGGGGUAGUGGCUUACCAAGGCUUUGACGGGUAGCCGGCCUGAGAGGGUGACCGGCCACAUUGGGACUGAGAUACGGCCCAGACUCAUACGGGAGGCAGCAGUGGGGAAUAUUGCACAAUGGGCGGAAGCCUGAUGCAGCAACGCCGCGUGCGGGAUGACGGCCUUCGGGUUGUAAACCGCUUUCGCCUGUGACGAAGCGUGAGUGACGGUAAUGGGUAAAGAAGCACCGGCUAACUACGUGC